CUACGGGUCGCUGCAGUAAGGAAUAUUGCACAAUGGGGGAAACCCUGAUGCAGCAACGCCGCGUGGACGAAGAAGGCCUUCGGGUCGUAAAGUCCUUUUCUGAGGGAAGAGGAAGGACGGUACCUCAGGAAUAAGUCUCGGCUAACUACGUGCCAGCAGCCGCGGUAAAACGUAGGAGGCGAGCGUUAUCCGGAUUCACUGGGCGUAAAGGGCAAGUAGGCGGUUAUUUAAGUUAGGUGUGACAUCUCUCGGCUUAACUGGGAGGGAGCGCUUAAAACUAGGCAACUAGAGGGCGGAAGAAGGGGGUAGAACUCCAAAUGUAGCGGUGGAAUGCUCAGAUAUUUGGAAGAAUACCAGUGGCGAAGGCGACCCCCCGGUCCGUGCCUGACGCUGAGAGGCGAAAGCUAGGGUAGCGAACGGGAUUAGAUACCCGUGUAGUC
rnacentral:rRNA from 1 species